UAGGGAAUCUUCCACAAUGGACGCAAGUCUGAUGGAGCAACGCCGCGUGAGUGAAGAAGGUUUUCGGAUCGUAAAGCUCUGUUGUUGGUGAAGAAGGAUAGAGGUAGUAACUGGCCUUUAUUUGACGGUAAUCAACCAGAAAGUCACGGCUAACUACGUGCCAGCAGCCGCGGUAAUACGUAGGUGGCAAGCGUUGUCCGGAUUUAUUGGGCGUAAAGCGAGCGCAGGCGGAAGAAUAAGUCUGAUGUGAAAGCCCUCGGCUUAACCGAGGAACUGCAUCGGAAACUGUGUUUCUUGAGUGCAGAAGAGGAGAGUGGAACUCCAUGUGUAGCGGUGGAAUGCGUAGAUAUAUGGAAGAACACCAGUGGCGAAGGCGACUCUCUGGUCUGCAACUGACGCUGAGGCUCGAAAGCAUGGGUAGCGAACAGG
rnacentral:rRNA from 1 species